rnacentral:rRNA from 1 species
ACGGGUGAGUAACACGUAGGUAACCUGCCUAUAAGAUCGGGAUAACUAUCGGAAACGAUAGCUAAGACCGGAUAAUUGGUUUUCUCGCAUGAGAGAAUUAUGAAACACGGAGCAAUCUGUGGCUUAUAGAUGGGCCUGCGGCGCAUUAGCUAGUUGGUGAGGUAACGGCUCACCAAGGCGACGAUGCGUAGCCGACCUGAGAGGGUGAACGGCCACACUGGGACUGAGACACGGCCCAGACUCCUACGGGAGGCAGCAGUAGGGAAUCUUCCGCAAUGGACGCAAGUCUGACGGAGCAACGCCGCGUGAGUGAUGAAGGUUUUCGGAUCGUAAAGCUCUGUUGCCCUAGACGAACAGCAAGGAGAGUAACUGCUCUUUGUGUGACGGUAUAGGAGAAGAAAGCCCCGGCUAACUACGUGCCAGCAGCCGCGGUAAUACGUAGGGGGCAAGCGUUGUCCGGAAUUAUUGGGCGUAAAGCGCGCGCAGGCGGUCAAUUAAGUUGGGUGUUUAAGCCCGGGGCUCAACCCCGGUUCGCAUCCAAAACUGGUUGACUUGAGUGUAGGAGAGGAAAGUGGAAUUCCACGUGUA